rnacentral:ncRNA from 1 species
AGAAGACCCUGUUGAGCUUGACUCUCGGCUGACACUGUGAAGAGACAUGAGAGGUGUAGAAUAAGGAGCCCCCUUGUGCCCCUUCCAGGAUCGCCCCCACCCCCAUCAGUGAGCAAGCCUUCUGGGCCCCUACCAUUACUCUGAUUGUUUGGUCGUUUUUUUCACUGACCCAGUGAUGGGGGGAUGGGGUGACAAGCCCUGAGGGGCUCUCGCUUCUGCCACCAAGCACCUAGUGCACCUCCAGGUGCAACCCACUCAGGGACAGUGUCAGAUGAGGAGUUUGACUGGUGCGGUACACCUGUCAAACCUUAACGCAGGCGUCUUAAGUCUAGCUCAGGGAGGACAGAAACCUCACGUGGAGCAGAAGGGCAAAAGCUCACUUGAUCUUGAUUUUCAAUAUGAAUACAGACCAUGAAAGCGGAGCAUCACGAUCCUUCUGGCCUUUGGGAUUUUAAGCAGGAGGUGUCAGAAAAGUUACCACAGGGAUGACUGGCUUGUGGUGGCCAAGCGUUCAUAAUGACCUCGCUUUUUGAUCCUUCGAUGUCAGCUCUUCCCAUCAUUUUGAAGCAGAAUUCACCAAGCCUUAUAUUGUUCACCCACUAAUAAAGUGAAGAAAUUCAAUGAAGUCU